rnacentral:rRNA from 1 species
AUUGAACGCUGGCGGCAUGCUUUACACAUGCAAGUCGAACGGUAACAGGUUAAGCUGACGAGUGGCGAACGGGUGAGUAAUGCAUCGGAACGUGCCCGAUCGUGGGGGAUAACGCAGCGAAAGCUGCGCUAAUACCGCAUACGAUCUGAGGAUGAAAGCGGGGGACCGUAAGGCCUCGCGCGAUCGGAGCGGCCGAUGUCAGAUUAGGUAGUUGGUGGGGUAAAGGCUCACCAAGCCGACGAUCUGUAGCUGGUCUGGGAGGACGACCAGCCACACUGGGACUGAGACACGGCACAGACUCCUACGGGAGGCAGCAGUGGGGAAUGUUGGACAAUGGGCGAAAGCCUGAUCCAGCAAUGCCGCGUGCAGGAAGAAGGCCUUCGGGUUGUAAACUGCUUUUGUACGGAGCGAAAAGGCUCUCUCUAAUACAGGGGGCUCAUGACGGUACCGUAAGAAUAAGCACCGGCUAACUACGUGCCAGCCGCCGCAGUAA